UGCGUAGGUGGUGAGGUAAGUCGGAUGUGAAAUCUCGGAGCUCAACUCCGAAACUGCAUUGGAAACUACCUUGCUCGAGGAUUGGAGGGGGGACUGGAAUUCUCGGUGUAGCAGUGAAAUGCGUAGAUAUCGAGAGGAACACCAGUGGCGAAGGCGAGUCCCUGGACAAUACCUGACACUGAGGCACGAAAGCUAGGGGAGCAAACA
rnacentral:rRNA from 1 species